rnacentral:rRNA from 1 species
AUACGUAGGGAGCAAGCGUUGUCCGGAAUUACUGGGCGUAAAGGGUGCGUAGGCGGCGCGUUAAGUCAGAUGUGAAAUACCCGGGCUCAACCCGGGGGGUGCAUCUGAUACUGGCGUGCUUGAGUGCAGGAGAGGAAAGCGGAAUUCCUAGUGUAGCGGUGAAAUGCGUAGAUAUUAGGAGGAACACCAGUGGCGAAGGCGGCUUUCUGGACUGUAACUGACGCUGAGGCACGAAAGCGUGGGGAGCAAACAGGAUUAGAUACCCUGGUAGUCCACGCCGUAAACGAUGGAUACUAGGUGUGGGCGUCAUAAGGCGUCCGUGCCGCAGCAAACGCAUUAAGUAUCCCGCCUGGGGAGUACGGUCGCAAGACUGAAACUCAAAUGAAUUGACGGGG